rnacentral:rRNA from 1 species
UACGAAGGGUGCAAGCGUUACUCGGAAUUACUGGGCGUAAAGCGUGCGUAGGUGGUUCGUUAAGUCUGUCGUGAAAGCCCCGGGCUCAACUCGGGAAUGGCGAUGGAUACUGGCGGGCUAGAGUGCGGUAGAGGAGAGUGGAAUUCCCGGUGUAGCAGUGAAAUGCGUAGAGAUCGGGAGGAACAUCAGUUGCGAAGGCGGCUCUCUGGACCAGCACUGACACUGAGGCACGAAAGCGUGGGGAGCAAACAGG